GGGUCAGUAGGUUGGUCGUGCCACCGGUACGUACUGGUCUCACUGAUUCCUCCUUCCUGAAGAACCGUAAUGCCGUUAAUUUGGUGUCGCGGGGAAACAGGACUGUUACUUUGAAAAAAUUAGAGUGUUUAAAGCAAGCUAACGCUUGAAUACAUUAGCAUGGAAUAAUGAAAUAGGACGAUCGAUCCUAUUUUGUUGGUUUCUAGGAUUGACGUA
rnacentral:rRNA from 1 species